rnacentral:rRNA from 1 species
CACGUAGGGCGCAAGCGUUGUCCGGAAUUAUUGGGCGUAAAGAGCUCGUAGGCGGUUUGUCGCGUCUGCUGUGAAAACUCAGGGCUUAACCCUGAGCUUGCAUCGGGUACGGGCAGACUAGAGUGCGGUAGGGGGAGACUGGAAUUCCUGGUGUAGCGGUGAAAUGCGCAGAUAUCAGGAGGAACACCGGUGGCGAAGGCGGGUCUCUGGACAGUUCCUGACGGCUGAGGCACGGAAGGUCAGGGGAGCAAACGGG